UACAAAAAUUAUCAUCGAAAAGUCUGCAUGCACAUGUGUUGCUAAACUGGGUAAAACGCUCGUAUACGUGCCAUAAUAAGCUUUAAAACUGCACGUUGAAACAUGCUGUGAUUUGUUUACAUAUCUGUGGUAGCUGAAAGAUAAUUUUAAGAAAUACAAGAUAAGUUUUCCAAGAAAUUCUCACCUGGAAAUUAAGAAAAUCUAGUUUUUUGCCUCAAAAAUUGGGGGUCGACUUAUACACGGGAUUGACUAAUACACGGGUAUAUACGGUAGCUACCCGAACAACCCCUCGAUACGUCCAAUGUUUGAAUUUUUGCGCUGGCCGUACAAAGAAAGAAUCUCGUUUAUGAGAAGUUUUGGUGUAUACAGCAGAGAAAGAGAAAAGAACUUCAGACAAAAAUCUUUGCUCUGUGGGAUAAUUCUAACUAUGCUAAAAGCGUUGCAUAGAAAUACUAAAGCCGAUAAUGUUCUCUUAAAGUGAAGUCCCAGUAGCUGUUUACAAAAUGGACUCCAGUUAGCAGAAUAAAGGGAAAGGGUUAUUAGGCGAUGAGUAACAAAAUUAAGAACUAAGUGCAAUGAAGAACUAAAACAAACAUUUCUUUUCAGGAUGGAGGGUUUGACGUUUGAGGAAGAGGAGGAGGAGAUGGAGUGAGAGACAACUGUUGUGGAAGAGGUUAGUAAACAGUAUUGCACCAUGUUUCCGUACACGAGGCAGUUGUCUCCAUCAUAUGCUACGAGGACACCAAUGAGGGUUCCCCUCCAGCUCUUCCCAAGGUGAUUGCAUCUCUACUGACAGUUAAAAUGACUCCGGAAAAAGUGGCCGAGUCUUGGCUUUGUGUGCUGAGCUCUUAAGUUAUGCUGUUCUGUCUGCUUAAGCGAAUUCCAAGAGGGUGAGCAAUCUACCCAGCUGCCAUGCAGCCAUGAAUUUUACAAUCAGUGCAUCACAACAUGGCUACAAAUGCAGGCCACUUGUCCAACGUGCAGAGACGAGUUGCUCCACUGAAGAAACAACUGUAAAUUGUAAACGUUGGUAUUAUAAGUUUUGUUAGUAUCGUUAAAUUGUAAGUCACAUUAACAUUGUAAGUAAUAGGUAAUUUUUGUAUGUAGUGUAAUGUAAGUUAUUGCAUUAAUAAAAUUAAAAAAAAAAAAA